UACGUAGGGUGCAAGCGUUAAUCGGAAUUACUGGGCGUAAAGGGUGCGUAGGCGGCGCAAAAAGUCAGAUGUGAAAUCCGGAGGCUCAACCUCCGAAUUGCAUCCGAAACUCUUGUGCUGGAGAAUUGUAGAGGAGCUUGGAACUCUCGGUGUAGCAGUGAAAUGCGUAGAUAUCGAGAAGAACGCUCGCAGCGAAAGCGAGGCUCUGGGCAAUUUCUGACGCUGAGGCACGAAGGCUAGGGGAGCAAACGGG
rnacentral:rRNA from 1 species